rnacentral:rRNA from 1 species
UACGUAGGGUGCAAGCGUUGUCCGGAAUUAUUGGGCGUAAAGAGCUCGUAGGCGGUUUGUUGCGUCGGCUGUGAAAUCCCGAGGCUCAACCUCGGGUCUGCAGUCGAUACGAGCAAACUAGAGUGUUGCAGGGGGAGACUGGAAUUCCUGGUGUAGCGGUGAAAUGCGCAGAUAUCAGGAGGAACACCCGGUGGCGAAAGGCGGGGUCUCUGGGCAACAACUGACGCUGGAGGAGCGAAAGCGUGGGGAGCGAACAGG